ensembl:lncRNA
AUGAAUGGAUAGUUGCUCUUGCCCACAUGUACCAGAAAUGCUGAGUCAUGGCCUGAAGCAGUGAUUGAGCACCUGGUGGGAAGGCAGGGCCAAACCAAUGGAGCUCAGGUGUAUGCAGUGCAUCUGAGAGACCAGAAGGGCUGGAGCCAGGAUCCACCCCUUCUCAGACCUCAUUUAAGGGUUGGCAUUGGAGUAUCUUUCUGGAGAUUCCUGCCUCCUGGAGCUACCCCCCUGAAGCAACGGGACAUCAAAUGAAUAAAAUCAAGCUAAAGAAGCCACAACUCUUCACUGCCAAGGACAUAAGGAAAAUCACAGAAUCAUCAUGGAAUCAUAGAAUGGUUUAGGUUGGAAGGAAUGUUGGAG